ensembl:lncRNA
GUUUGGGGGGCGUGUGGCCCGUGAGUACGGAUGACGGGGAGCCCCCGUCCUCUCUGCGCAGGGCUGGGCUGGGGCGUGUGUGCGGAGGAGGGGGAGGGUGAGCCCCUGGCGUCCCCAGGAACAGGCGUGCGGGGCGGCCGCCGGGCGCAGCUUGGAGCCGGCAGAGCCUGGGAGCCGGGCGGCGGAGCAGGGCCCAGCAGAGCGAUCGCGACCAGGCCACCGGGGCCUGAGUCUCCGUUGGCUCUCCAGCGAAGCGGGGUACCCGCCUCGGAGAGCUGGGAGGGGGCCCAGCGGGGCUCCUGGCGAGGCGCCCGCACGCGGUGAGCCCUCCCCAAACGGCAGCUUAAAUUACAAACAAAAAGAGAAGCUGGGGAAGUCAGGAUGGGCCCAGGCUGCUUGUGACAGGGACCCACAUCCAGGCAGGAGGGAGGCCUGCUCUUCCCACCUUCCAGCUCUCGGAGCCACAUGCCCCGCAGCCCGCAGGCCUCCGUCCAGCUGCGCCUGGGCCGACAGUGUCCCCAUCUUCCCGGCGGGGCGAGGACCAGAGGGGCGCCUGCCAUCCUGCUCUCACCAUUGGGGUGAGCCCCUCUCUCAGCUCCCCCCGCCCGACGCUGUGUCAGCAGCUUGAGAACAAACCCCCCGGGAGUGGGUGCUGCUGGGAACACACCCUCAUGCGUGUGAGUACACAAGUGUGCGUGUGUGAGUAGAUACGUGAGUGUGAGCAUGUGUGUGAGCAUAUGAGUGUGUGAGGAUGUGUGAGAGUGAGGAUGCGAGUGUGAGGAUGUGUGCACUGAGAGCAUAUGAAUGUGUGCAAGUGUGUCAGCACAGAUGUGUGGGUGUGUGUUGAGUGUUGUGCAUCAUGAAUGUGUUGUGUGAGUGUGUUUGAGUGAGGAUGUGUGUGAGUUUGUGCAUGUGAGAGUGUGGAUGCGUAUGAGUGUGUGUGAGCAGGUGUGUUGUGUGUGAGUAUAUUUGAGUGAGAGUACUCAUACAUGAGUGUGUGCGUGUGAGUAUAUGAGUGAGAACGUGCAUAUGUGAGUGAGUGCAUGUGAGUAUAUGUGAGUGAUGGCGUGCAUACAUGAGUGUAUGUGUGUGUGAGUAUACGUCAAUGGGAGUGCACAUACAUGACUGUGCAUGUGACCGUACGUGAGUGAGAGCGUGCAUAAAAGUGUGUGCAUGUGAGUGCGUGUGAGUAUACAUGAGUAAGAGCAUGCAUUCAUGCGUGUGUGAGUAUCCAUGAGUGAGGGUGUGCAUACAUGGGUGUGUGCGUGUGAGUGUGUGUGAGUAUCCGUGAGUGAGGGCGUGCACACGCUGCUGUGUGAGGACGCUCUCCCGGGCACUUGGCAGGCACAGCGCACGGUGGCGGCUUUGCAGCGAAUCCUUUCUUUUUCCCGGCACCCCCUCCGCUGGAGGACCAGGCUCCCGCUGCGCCUUGUUACCCGCAGGGGAUGUGGGUCAGCCGGGACUGGGGGCCGGAGCCCAGGCCUAGGUGGGUCGGUGGCCUGGAGGCCGCAGAAGGGAGCGGGAAGACCAGCCGUCUCAGAGCUCAGCCUCGGGGAGCCUCGCUGCCCUUGUGCGAAGCCCGGCUCCACCAAUUCUUAGCUGGGUCAUCUGGGGCACAUUACUCAACCUCUCUGUGCCUCUGUGAGCUGAGGACACUGAUGCUGGCUACCUCGUGGGGCUGCUGUGAGCAUUAGAUGGGUGACACCUGCAGAGUGCUGGCACCCCACCCAGCUGUCCCUAAAGGCUGAUGGUGGAGCAGAGAGGGGUUGGGGAGGCAGUAGAGGGCAGGGGGCCCCUGCGGUGAGGCAGGGAGGUCACUACCACGCAACCAGGGGACCCGGCUGGCUCCAGCCGGAUGAUGCGCCCGUGCGCAUGCGCGAUGGUGUUUCGCCACGUCUUCCGAGAACGAACCCUCGCUUCCUUGCUUACAGGGUGCACGGCGUCCAGACUGUCAUUCCUUUCGGAUUUCUGGAAACCUCGAAGCUGAGGACUUUCCAGCAGGAAAGGCCGGGAGACCAGUCUCCACCAGGGGCAUCUCCCAGCAGCGUCCGAUUUGGCCGCUGCCCUUCUGGGUCCGGGGAGGCAGCAGGUGGCACCCAGCAGGCCUGUGCGGGUUUGCCGCGGGUGGCGUGCAGACAGCAGACACCGGGCCACGGCCCUGGGGUCCCCUGCCUCCCGCCUGCUCCCCUCUAGGACCCUCUACUCUCUUGACUCUCCCUGGGGCCCGGGAGACAGUGGUGGCUCAGGGUGAGAUUCUGGGACACCUAAAACCACCAGCUGAGUGGCAGCCGGGGGUGCGGCGUCCCCGGGGGGUUCCUGAGCCCUCUAUGUCCAGCUACUUCUGAAUUUCCGGCGGUGGGUCUGGGAAUCUGCCUUUGUGACAACCGUCCCCGAUGCACGUGCAGUGUUUCCUGGUGGGGAGAUGGUCGCACACGGAGGGGAAGGGACUUACCCACAGCUGAGAGGCUGCAGGACGCAAAGCCAGGUCUCCUGAUGUCCCCAGCACACGUUUCCCACCUCAUCGGGACACACUUUCUGGAAUGUGGAAUUUUCCGUAGGGACACGGAUCCAAUUUUACAAUAGGAGCUCUCCGAAGCCAGUAUCUUCUGUCAGAAAUUCAGGCCAUCGCCACUUUACCGGAGGAAGGGUGUUCCAGGGAGCAAGGGGUGUCUGCCGUCUCCCUGUCCCCAUGCCCAGAUCCUCUGCGUGUUACUUUCCUGCCCAGCGGGGGCCAAGAGGUCCUGGCAGGGCCUGCUCGCCGGCAGAUGUCCCUGCAAACCUGUCCCAAGGCUGCUAGGAGGACACCGGACACACAGGGAGCGGGGAGAGGCGGCCCCUGAGCCCGAGAGCCGAGAUGGGCACUGAGCGGUCAGUGGGGUGCGGUGGGGGGUGUGGCAUUUCUCCCCCAAGGGAGUCACAGGCACAAGGCCGACUCUGUCACGACGGGGGUCUUCAAGGCUUUCUUCUCCACUGCCUGAGGCUUGGAGAAAGUUCUUCUUGUUCCAGGGAGCCAGACCCAGAGGGAGCGUCAUUAGCUGCCUAUGGAAAGAGGAAACGCCUUCUGGAUAUUUCUUUCCCCACCAGCAAGGAUAAUCAUGCUGUUGAAGCCAUUUAUUGAGUGUUAUUAUGUGCUAAACCCCUUCUGUGCCCUACAGACACAGUCCACUCCACUGUGAUCACUAGGUUGUUAGACAAAUAGUAGCAGUGGCUAAUGUUUUGGGCACGUCCCCUGUGCCAGGAGCCAGGCACUGGGCCACGUGCUCUCCACAGAUGAUGUCGUUUGGCGAAUAGGUUCUGUGUUAUUAUUAUCUGUUAUGGGCCCAUUUUACGGAAGAGGAAAAUAAGGCUCAGACGGGUGAAUUGUCCAAGGUCACACACUAGCAUCCGGGGAUGCUGGCCCCGGAACCCAGGUCUCCCUGCUCCUGACCGGAAGCUUUUAAUCACAACACUCUGCUGUCCGUCAGUUUCUCCCUUUACGUCGUUUCCCCGUCCCGGGUGCGUGGUUACUUGCUUCAUCUGCCGUAAGUUUUAGCUUUCCGUGCACCGAGGGUCGGGUUCUCGCCUCCACGUGUGGGGCCUGAAGCGCCGUAAACGCCAGCUCUGGGCUUUCUUUAUUGGAGGUAGACGUGCCAGCUUAAAAAGGCGUGUCAGCGGCCAUUUUUGAAAUACAUUGCACCCGUCAUCAGGUGACAUCGCAGUGUCCUUCAUCUUAGCUCGGCUCUCUGCUCUGAUCAACAGCUCGGUACCACAAUACAAAGACGAGUCCAGAAAGAGGAGAAACAGGGUUCUAGAGAAAAUUGUUUCAAGGAGAAAAGCAAGCAACGCGAACAAAGGGUGGAGGAACAACUGUGAAAAUUCAGGAGACAAAGACUCCGGGGUCCUAGUAGAUGGCCAGCUGAGCAUUAGUCGGUCAGCUGCUGUUUGAAAUAGCUCCUUAGCCGUGGACUAGAUAGUAGCCUUGUUAAGGUGAGCACCACAAAACACUGUCCCGUCUCGGGUGUAGGAUGUGCUGGGAAUACCUGACCCUCUGUCUCUUUUUCGGGUCCCAUAAUCACUGUUUAUGAACUUGUAUCCUUCUCGUCUGUGGCCCCCACAGGAAACCAGGUGAGAAAGUUCGAGACUCUAUUCCCUUACUCUCCUUCAGCUCCCGACAAAGAGUAUCGAAGGCUGCUCUUUGCUUACCCCAUAUCCACAACCCUGUCUUCCUCGGCAACAGAAAGCCCAUAGUGUUGGGUGUAUCAGUGGGCUUUUUAUGAUACCACAGUUCCUAGCCAAUAGGAUGUAAGCAAAAGUUAUUGGGUGGGAUUCCUGGGAAAGUACCUCAAGGAAGGCUGACUCAGCAGGGAGGCAUGCCCUUUCAACCUUGCCCCUUUCUCCUUCCCACUGCCUGAAAUGUGAAUGUGAUGUCUGGAGCUGCAGUAAUGAUUUUGGGAUCAUGAGGUGACCUCAAGGAUGGGAGCCUCACAUGGGUGACGGCAGAGAGCAGGAUGGAGGAGCCUGGGCCGCUGAUGGGUUUGGAGCUGCUGUAUUAAUCCUGGACCGGCUGCCUCUAGACUUUUCUAUGUGAGAGAAAAAUUGAACCUCUAACUUAUUCUAGCCACCGUUCUUUUGGCUCUGUUUACCGUGGCCAGGUGCAAUUCUUAACCAAUACCAAAAGCUUUGGAGCACAUCCAGUGCAUCAUUUCCCAUGGCUAUUCAUAAAUAAAGAGGAAUUUGAUGUGGACGUGGCAGGGAGUCCCUGAGGUGACACCGGGAGGCGCAGCCUGCUGUUUGCAGACCUGGGGACUUGUGUUGGCCUGGCCUUCUCUGCAGGAAUGGACGUGACAAGAGAUCUUCACAUAUCGGGGUAUAUGGCAUCGCUCUUCUUGUUCCAAGUGCAUUCAACUUGAACUAAAGAAGCCCGACUCAUCGGCUGUCACACGUACAUGGUACGUCUGCAUUAGCCGUUAAAGUAAAGAGUGCUUUAAACAUUAUCUCAGCAUAAAAGAACGCACACUCUUUAAGAUAAGAGCGCCUACUUCCAGGAUCCACAAAGCCCUUUGGUGACAGCUACUAGUCCUCCUGCAGCCUUUUCCAGUUUAUGUUCUCUUGCUGUGUUUUAUGCAUCCACACCAAGCCGCCUCCAGUCCCAUCUGGAGGAGGUGGGAUGGGGUCGGGUGCUGCUGCCCUCUGACCACUGGGCUGCGGAUGAGACGUCUAGAGCCCUGUCCUUGGACAGACGGUAGAUCUCAGGAUUGGCUCUCUGGGCUCCGCGCGGCCCCACACGGCCCCGACCCCUCUGGGGCUUGUUGGGGACGUCUGAGGAGGCAGGGAGGACCAGCUGCCUAAACAAGGUGAGUCUUCUCGAGCUGUCCAUGAAGACAUCUUUUAUGGGGAGUCCUGCUGCUGUGAAACGAAAUGGACGCCUGAGCCUUGUCCUCAGGCACAGCGCACGGGGAUUGGCGGUAGGGCCCGGGCUAGGGUGGGGCAGGUGAGGCGCCCAGGGCAGGAAGGAGGCUCACUCUGGCGCCCUGCCAGAGUCCUGCCCCACAGGGGGUCCCCGCCCUCCGAGUGGCCUCCCCCGAGCGAAGCCCCUCCCCUCCUUCUCGGGGUGUUGGCAGGUGAGAGCAGGUGAGAACAUGUGCUCCCUUCCAGGCAGAUGCUGUGAGCAGACGUGACCUGCAUGGAAUGUUCUCCAUCAGAGUUUCUUGCUUUGGAGUAACACCCGGCGGGGCACCCUCCAGUCCAGUGCCGUCCGUUUCACGCAGCCUCCCGUCCUCGGUGGCAAAUCUUCCCAGUCGUCUUUGCGAUCUUGGCUUCCCACCUUCCACAGGCAACCAUUUGACACACACACACACACACACACACCUGUGCUGAACAAGUACAAAUAUCCGGGCUUAGAGGACUUUGAGCCCAUUCCUUCAUUUGACAACCAUUUAUCGGGUGUGCUCCCAUGUGUUGAGGAUAUGGCAGGGGACCGAAAGGGAAAAUCCUGCUCUUGUGGGGCUUAUAUUUUAGUGGGGAGACAUGCUACAUACUAAGUGAAGGGGCAAACCGUAUAGCAGGGGGGACAAUAGUAAGUGAUAGAGAUCAACCACAGCAGCGAAGGGGGUCGGGGUGCUGGGCGCGGGGCUGAAAUUUUAGCAGGGGACACCAAGGAAGGCCUGGGGACGUGAGGGAGGUGAGGGGUGAGCCACGCAGGGGUCGGGAGGAGUGUCCCAGGAAGGGAGCGGAGCCGCUGCAGAGAGCAGGGGAGGGAGGGACCCGGAGUUGGAGGGGCAAGCAGGAGGCCAGCGUGGCGGGAGAGAGAGGAGACAGGUGGAUGGGGACAGGAAGAGGUGAGGCCUUGGGGGCCCUGGCAUGGACUUCAGCUGUGACUCCGAGGGUAAUGCCGGCCCCUGGAGGGUUUAGAGCAGAGUCAAGACGUGGUCUGCCUUGCGUUUUAAGGGGAUCCCCUGUUGGCUGUAAGGAGCCCAGGACUGAGCGGGGAGAGGCUGGAAGCCUGGGGACCCGUUAGGAGGACCCUACAAUCCUCUGGUGAGAGGUGACUGUGACGAGGACCGGGUGGCGGCAGCAAGGUGGUGGAAAUGACAGAUCUUCACAGCAGAGCCGACAGAAUUGGCCGACUGGUUGGAUGUGGGGUGCAAAGGAGGAGAGGG